UACGUAGGGUGCGAGCGUUGUCCGGAAGUAUUGGGCGUAAAGAGCUCGUAGGCGGUGUGUCACGUCGUCCGUGAAAACCUGGGGCUCAACUCUGGGCGUGCGGUCGAUACGGGCAUCACUUGAGUUCGGCAGGGGAGACUGGAAUUCCUGGUGUAGCGGUGAAAUGCGCAGAUAUCAGGAGGAACACCGGUGGCGAAGGCGGGUCUCUGGGCCGAUACUGACGCUGAGGAGCGAAAGCAUGGGUAGCGAACAGG
rnacentral:rRNA from 1 species